rnacentral:rRNA from 1 species
ACGGCUCAGUAACACGUGGAUAACCUGCCCAAGGGUCUGGGAUAACCCCGGGAAACUGGGGAUAAUACCGGAUGGAUCACUAGUGCUGGAAUGCUUGGUGGUCGAAAGGCAACGCCUUUGGAUGGGUCUGCGGCGGAUUAGGUUGACGCCGGUGUAACGUACCGGCGUGCCUGUAAUCCGUACGGGUUGUGGGAGCAAGAGCCCGGAGAUGGAUUCUGAGACACGAAUCCAGGCCCUACGGGGCGCAGCAGGCGCGAAAACUCUACAAUGCAGGCAACUGCGAUAGGGGGACAUCGAGUGGCAUCCACCUUGGGUGCCUGUCCAACCGUCUAAAAAACGGUUGUUAGCAAGGGCCGGGUAAGACCGGUGCCAGCCGCCGCGGUAAUACCGGCGGCUCGAGUGGUGGCCGAUAUUAUUGAGUCUAAAGGGUCCGUAGCCGGCUUUGCAAGUCCCCUGGGAAAUCCAGCGGCUUAACCGUUGGGCUUUCAUGGGAUACUACAUUGCUUGGGACUGGGAGAGGUAGGAGGUACUCGGGGGGUAGGGGUGAAAUCCUGUAAUCCUCCGGGGACCACCGGUGGCGAAGGCGUCCUACCAGAACAGGUCCGACGGUGAGGGACGAAAGCUAGGGGCACGAACCGGAUUAGAUACCCGGGUAGUCCUAGCCGUAAACGGUGCCCGCUAGGUGUCACGACGGUCGUGAAUCGUCGUGGUGCCGUAGGGAAGCCGCGAAGCGGGCCACUUGGGAAGUACGGCCGCAAGGCUGAAACUUAAAGGAAUUGGCGGGGGAGCAC